AGUAUGAUUCGUACGUGACCUGCGGAGGAUCAUUAUCGAGUUUUGACCGGGUUGUAGCUGGCCUUCCGAGGCAUGUGCACGCCCUGCUCAUCCACUCUACACCUGUGCACUUACUGUGGGCUUCAGAUUGCGAGGCACGCUCUUUACCGGGCUUGCGGAGCAUAUCUGUGCCUGCGUUUAUCACAAACUCUAUAAAGUAACAGAAUGUGUAUUGUGAUGUAACACAUCUAUAUACAACUUUCAGCAACGGAUCUCUUGGCUCUCGCAUCGAUGAAGAACGCAGCGAAAUGCGAUAAGUAAUGUGAAUUGCAGAAUUCAGUGAAUCAUCGAAUCUUUGAACGCACCUUGCGCUCCUUGGUAUUCCGAGGAGCAUGCCUGUUUGAGUGUCAUGAAAUCUUCAACCUACAAGCUUUUGUGGUUUGUAGGCUUGGACUUGGAGGCUUGUCGGCCGUUAUCGGUCGGCUCCUCUUAAAUGCAUUAGCUUGGUUCCUUGCGGAUCGGCUCUCGGUGUGAUAAUGUCUACGCCGCGACCGUGAAGCGUUUGGCGAGCUUCUAACCGUCUUAUAAGACAGCUUUAUGACCUCUGACCUCAAAUCAGGUAGGACUACCCGCUGAACUUAAGCAUAUCAAUAAGCGGAGGAAAAGAAACUAACAAGGAUUCCCCUAGUAACUGCGAGUGAAGCGGGAAAAGCUCAAAUUUAAAAUCUGGCGGUCUUUGGCCGUCCGAGUUGUAGUCUGGAGAAGUGCUUUCCGCGCUGGACGGAAAAU
rnacentral:rRNA from 1 species